UGGGGAAUUUUGGACAAUGGGGGAAACCCUGAUCCAGCCAUCCCGCGUGUGCGAUGAAGGCCUUCGGGUUGUAAAGCACUUUUGGCAGGAUAGAAACGUCAUGGGUUAAUACCCCGUGUAACUGACGGUACCUGCAGAAUAAGCACCGGCUAACUACGUGCCAGCAGCCGCUGUAAUACGUAGGGUGCAAGCGUUAAUCGGAAUUACUGGGCGUAAAGCGUGCGCAGGCGGUUCGGAAAGAAAGAGGUGAAAUCCCAGAGCUCAACUUGGGAGCUGCAUUUUUAACUACCGGGCUAGAGUGUGUCAGAGGGAGGUGGAAUUCCGCGUGUAGCAGUGAAAUGCGUAGAUAUGCGGAGGAAAACCGAUGGCGAAGGCAGCCGCCUGGGAUAACACUGACGAUCAUGCACGAAAGCGUGGGGAGCAAACAGG
rnacentral:rRNA from 1 species